GAGAAAGAAAUUCGUACAUCUAGGAGCUAUAGAACUAGUACCGCAAGGGAAAGAUGAAAGACUAAUUAAAAGUAAGAACAAGCAAAGAUUAAACCUUGUACCUUUUGCAUAAUGAACUAACUAGAAAACUUCUAACUAAAAGAAUUACAGCUAGAAACCCCGAAACCAAACGAGCUACCUAAAAACAAUUUUAUGAAUCAACUCGUCUAUGUGGCAAAAUAGUGAGAAGAUUUUUAGGUAGAGGUGAAAAGCCUAACGAGCUUGGUGAUAGCUGGUUACCCAAAAAAUGAAUUUAAGUUCAAUUUUAAACUUGCUAAAAAAACAACAAAAUCAAAAAGUAAGUUUAGAUUAUAGCCAAAAGAGGGACAGCUCUUCUGGAACGGAAAAAACCUUUAAUAGUGAAUAAUUAACAAAACAGCUUUUAACCAUUGUAGGCCUAAAAGCAGCCACCAAUAAAGAAAGCGUUCAAGCUCAACAUAAAAUUUCAAUUAAUUCCAUAAUUUACACCAACUUCCUAAACUUAAAAUUGGGUUAAUCUAUAACUUUAUAGAUGCAACACUGUUAGUAUGAGUAACAAGAAUUCCAAUUCUCCAGGCAUACGCGUAUAACAACUCGGAUAACCAUUGUUAGUUAAUCAGACUAUAGGCAAUAAUCACACUAUAAAUAAUCCACCUAUAACUUCUCUGUUAACCCAACACCGGAAUGCCUAAAGGAAAGAUCCAAAAAGAUAAAAGGAACUCGGCAAACAAGAACCCCGCCUGUUUACCAAAAACAUCACCUCUAGCAUUACAAGUAUUAGAGGCACUGCCUGCCCAGUGACUAAAGUUUAACGGCCGCGGUAUCCUGACCGUGCAAAGGUAGCAUAAUCACUUGUUCCUUAAUUAGGGACUAGCAUGAACGGCUAAACGAGGGUCCAACUGUCUCUUAUCUUUAAUCAGUGAAAUUGACCUUUCAGUGAAGAGGCUGAAAUAUAAUAAUAAGACGAGAAGACCCUAUGGAGCUUAAAUUAUAUAACUUAUCUAUUUAAUUUAUUAAACCUAAUGGCCCAAAAACUAUAGUAUAAGUUUGAAAUUUCGGUUGGGGUGACCUCGGAGAAUAAAAAAUCCUCCGAAUGAUUAUAACCUAGACUUACAAGUCAAAGUAAAAUCAACAUAUCUUAUUGACCCAGAUAUAUUUUGAUCAACGGACCAAGUUACCCUAGGGAUAACAGCGCAAUCCUAUUUAAGAGUUCAUAUCGACAAUUAGGGUUUACGACCUCGAUGUUGGAUCAGGACAUCCCAAUGGUGUAGAAGCUAUUAAUGGUUCGUUUGUUCAACGAUUAAAGUCCUACGUGAUCUGAGUUCAGACCGGAGCAAUCCAGGUCGGUUUCUAUCUAUAUCUACACUCUUUCCCUA
rnacentral:rRNA from 1 species